rnacentral:rRNA from 1 species
GUACCCGAAACCGACACAGGUGGGGUGGUAGAGAAUACCGAGGGGCGCGAGAUAACUCUCUCUAAGGAACUCGGCAAAAUGGCCCCGUAACUUCGGGAGAAGGGGUGCCACCGCAAGGUGGUCGCAGUGAAUAGGCCCAGGCGACUGUUUACCAAAAACACAGGUCUCCGCUAAGUCGCAAGACGAUGUAUGGGGGCUGACGCCUGCCCAGUGCCGGAAGGUUAAGGAAGCUGGUCAGCGCAAGCGAAGCUAGCGACUGAAGCCCCGGUGAACGGCGGCCGUAACCAUAACGGUCCUAAGGUAGCGAAAUUCCUUGUCGGGUAAGUUCCGACCCGCACGAAAGGCGUAACGAUCUGGGCGCUGUCUCGGAGAGAGGCUCGGCGAAAUAGAAUUGUCUGUGAAGAUGCGGACUACGUGCACCCGGACAGAAAGACCCUAUGAAGCUUUACUGUAGCUUGGUAUUGUGCUCGGGCUCGGAAUGCGCAGGAUAGGUGGGAGGCUAUGAACCAUUGCUUGUGGGUGAUGGUGAGCCACUGGUGAGAUACCACUCUUUCCGAGCUAGAGUUCUAACAGCCACCCGUUAUCCGGGGGCUGGACAGUAUCAGGUGGGCAGUUUGACUGGGGCGGUCGCCUCCUAAAAGGUAACGGAGGCGCGCAAAGGUUUGCUCAGGCUGGUUGGAAAUCAGCCGACGAGUGUAAAAGCAGAAGCAAGCUUGACUGUGAGACCUACAAGUCGAACAGGGAGGAAACUCGGCUUUAGUGAUCCGACGGUUCUGCGUGGAAGGGCCGUCGCUCAACGGAUAAAAGUUACUCUAAGGAUAACAGGCUGAUCUCCCCCAAGAGUUCACAUCGACGGGGAGGUUUGGCACCUCGAUGUCGGCUCAUCGCAACCUGGGGCUGAAGUCGGUCCCAAGGGUUGGGCUGUUCGCCCAUUAAAGCGGUACGCGAGCUGGGUUCAGAACGUCGUGAGACAGUUCGGUCCAUAUCCGGUGCAUGCGCAGGAAUAUUGAGAGGAUUUCUCCCUAGUACGAGAGGACCGGGAGGAACGCACCUCUGGUGUACCAGUUAUCGUGCCAACGGUAAACGCUGGGUAGCCAUGUGCGGAGAGGAUAACCGCUGAAAGCAUCUAAGUGGGAAGCCCACCUCAAGAUGAGUAUUCCCAUGGGGUAACCCAGUAAGGUCACGGGAAGAACACCCGUUGAUAGGCUCUACGUGGAAGCGCAGUAAUGUGUGAAGCGGAGGAGUACUAAUAGACCGAGGGCUUGACCU